AGUAAGCAAGCGCAGGCUGUCUGUCCUGAAGGCAGGCUGAGUGCUGCGGGCUGUUUCCUCAGGGCAGCAUCUGGGGAGCUGCCAUGUCCCAGCCCACAGCUGAAGCAGGCUGGUGCACACAUUGAGAGAAUCUGCACCCACGUGUGGCUUCUGCCUGUGGAUCACACAACCCAUCUCCGGGCACUGGGGAUCCCUUAUGAAGAAGCAUAUGGCACAGGUAUUGAAAGCUUCUCUGCCUUGUUGUCCAUUCCAGAUGAUCGUGUUGGUGACCUGUAUGCAGCAUAUCCCAUGGAAGGUGUUCUGGAACGUGGCAAGGAACGCAGUGAUCUGCCUGUACGCCACGUAUCUGGGCUGCGCCGUUUUCAUCAGCCUCAAGCCUACCGCAGGGAUGUGGCCUCAGGUGUUGGCUCUGUACCUUCUCAAUGGGUUCCUGAUUUUGAGCCUUGGAGGAAUCGCAUGGAUCUGCCUGUACGCCGCAUAUCGAGGCUGCGCAGUUUUCAUCAGCCUCAAGCCUACCCCAGGGAUGUGGCCUCAGGUACUGGCUCUGCAGCUUCUCAGUGGGUUCCUUAUUCUGAGCCUUGGAGGAAUCGCAUGGCUGUUGCACCUAGGAUUCCUUCUUCCCGUUCUCAGAUGGAUCUUGGUUUUGAGCCUGAAGAGUAUCCCAGAGGUGCUGGCGGUGUGAGACCUGCAGGGAGCGUGGAUCAGAAACGGGGAGAAAAUCACCUUGCAGUUGGCGUGCUUGCCAUCCUGCUCUCUCUGGUCAUUCUGGCUGCUUUGGGUUACCUGGCAAAACAGUUGCUGAUUAAGAGAGAAGCAGGAGCAAUGCUAGGUGAAACUGGCAGAGACAUGAAAAACAAAGAUCCAGCUCCGCUAAAAAAACCACAGAACUUAAGGAGAAUUACCAUAGAAAUUCAAGAUCUUACUGGGAAGUCAAACCCAAAUCUGAAGGGUCUUCCCAAUUCCAAAGUCAAUAUCAGUCAAUCCCCACAGCAAUCCUCUCGGCCUGACUUCCGCAGGCAGUCAGAAAUCGCUGAUGACUCCUGCCCGGAUACAAGCAAAAAGACACCAACGUCAGGAAAAGUGGCAAGUACGUGCUGCUGUGGAAGAGUGGUGGAACUGUGUGAACCACAGAACCCCUAGUGGACCAAGAAUGUAAAGAUCAGCACCGCUGGGAAGCUGUGUAUUGCUGAAGAGAACAUGCAGUGUCCAUGAGAGAAAUACAUCAGACAAACUAGAAAGGGAGAGUCUCCUAACUGUGCUGCAAGCUCAGCAAUGCAGAGCAAUAAGAAACGUCCUUACAUCACUACUUCACUUUGUCUCUCCCUCCCGGAAGCGAUGUGGGAAGGACUGGAGUGUUUGGGGAACUGUAGUUCUCCUUUAGCAGCUUUCCCAAUUCCAUCAGUUCAUUGCAUGAUGUCCACACUUAUGGACGAGCAUGACAGCGUUCACCACCUAUUCCAUAUCAUGACAUCAUGCCCAAGUUGUACAACGCAGAUACAUGUAUCUAUACGGUCAAUAAACUAUAAUUAAC
rnacentral:lncRNA from 7 species